AAAGGAGACUGCCAGUGAUAAACUGGAGGAAGGUGGGGAUGACGUCAAGUCAUCAUGGCCCUUACGACCAGGGCUACACACGUGCUACAAUGGCGCAUACAAAGAGAAGCGACCUCGCGAGAGCAAGCGGACCUCAUAAAGUGCGUCGUAGUCCGGAUUGGAGUCUGCAACUCGACUCCAUGAAGUCGGAAUCGCUAGUAAUCGUGGAUCAGAAUGCCACGGUGAAUACGUUCCCGGGCCUUGUACACACCGCCCGUCACACCAUGGGAGUGGGUUGCAAAAGAAGUAGGUAGCUUAACCUUCGGGAGGGCGCUUACCACUUUGUGAUUCAUGACUGGGGUGAAGUCGUAACAAGGUAACCGUAGGGGAACCUGCGGUUGGAUCACCUCCUU
rnacentral:rRNA from 1 species